rnacentral:rRNA from 1 species
GAGUUUGAUCGUGGCUCAGAACGAACGCUGGCGGCAGGCUUAACACAUGCAAGUCGAACGCCCCGCAAGGGAGUGGCAGACGGGUGAGUAACGCGUGGGAAUCUACCCAGAUCUUCGGAACAACUGAGGGAAACUUCAGCUAAUACCGGAUACGCCCUACGGGGAAGAUUUAUCGGUUCUGGAUGAGCCCGCGUUGGAUUAGCUAGUUGGUGGGGUAAUGGCCUACCAAGGCGACGAUCCAUAGCUGGUCUGAGAGGAUGAUCAGCCACACUGGGACUGAGACACGGCCCAGACUCCUACGGGAGGCAGCAGUGGGGAAUAUUGGACAAUGGGGGAAACCCUGAUCCAGCAAUGCCGCGUGAGUGAUGAAGGCCUUAGGGUUGUAAAGCUCUUUUACCGGGAUGAUAAUGACAGUACCGGGAGAAUAAGCCCCGG